GAUGAACGCUGGCGGCGUGCCUAAUACAUGCAAGUCGAGCGAACGGACGAGAAGCUUGCUUCUCUGAUGUUAGCGGCGGACGGGUGAGUAACACGUGGAUAACCUACCUAUAAGACUGGGAUAACUUCGGGAAACCGGAGCUAAUACCGGAUAAUAUUUUGAACCGCAUGGUUCAAAAGUGAAAGACGGUCUUGCUGUCACUUAUAGAUGGAUCCGCGCUGCAUUAGCUAGUUGGUAAGGUAACGGCUUACCAAGGCAACGAUGGAUAGCCGACCUGAGAGGGUGAUCGGCCACACUGGAACUGAGACACGGUCCAGACUCCUACGGGAGGCAGCAGUAGGGAAUCUUCCGCAAUGGGCGAAAGCCUGACGGAGCAACGCCGCGUGAGUGAUGAAGGUCUUCGGAUCGUAAAACUCUGUUAUUAGGGAAGAACAUAUGUGUAAGUAACUGUGCACAUCUUGACGGUACCUAAUCAGAAAGCCACGGCUAACUACGUG
rnacentral:rRNA from 1 species